rnacentral:rRNA from 1 species
CCUACGGGAGGCAGCAGUGGGGAAUAUUGGACAAUGGGGGCAACCCUGAUCCAGCCAUGCCGCGUGAGUGAUGAAGGCCCUAGGGUUGUAAAGCUCUUUUGUGCGGGAAGAUAAUGACGGUACCGCAAGAAUAAGCCCCGGCUAACUUCGUGCCAGCAGCCGCGGUAAUACGAAGGGGGCUAGCGUUGCUCGGAAUCACUGGGCGUAAAGGGUGCGUAGGCGGGUUUCUAAGUCAGAGGUGAAAGCCUGGGGCUCAACUCCAGAACUGCCUUUGAUACUGGAAGUCUUGAGUAUGGCAGAGGUGAGUGGAACUGCGAGUGUAGAGGUGAAAUUCGUAGAUAUUCGCAAGAACACCAGUGGCGAAGGCGGCUCACUGGGCCAUUACUGACGCUGAGGCACGAAAGCGUGGGGAGCAAACAGGAUUAGAUACCCCUGUAGUC